rnacentral:rRNA from 1 species
AUUGAACGUUGGCGGCAUGGAUUAGGCAUGCAAGUCGAGCGAGAAGUGUAGCAAUACACGGAAAGCGGCGGAAGGGAGAGUAAUACGUGGGAAUCUGCCCUUAGACCUGGGAUAGCAGCGGGAAACUGCUGGUAAUACCAGAUAAUGUCUAUGGACCAAAGGUGUGAUUCCGUCUAGGGAUGAGCCCACGUCCUAUUAGCUAGUUGGUAGGGUAAUGGCCUACAAAGGCGAUGAUGGGUAGCGGGUGUGAGAGCAUGACCCGCCUCACUGGGACUGAGACACUGCCAAGACACCUACGGGUGGCUGCAGUCGAGAAUCUUCGGCAAUGGGCGCAAGCCUGACCGAGCGAGGCCGCGUGCGGGAUGAAGGCCUUCGGGUUGUAAACCGCUGUCGAGUGGGAGCAACUUCCAUAGAGUUAUCUUUAUGGAUUGAGUGAUCCCUGGAGGAAGGACGGGCUAAGUUCGUGCCAGCAGCCGCCGUAACAC